rnacentral:rRNA from 1 species
CGUGUAGGCGGCUUGACAAGUCAGAUGUGAAAUCCCCGGGCUUAACUCGGGAAGUGCAUUUGAAACUGUCUGGCUAGAGUAAGGGAGAGGAAAGUGGAAUUCCUGGUGUAGAGGUGAAAUUCGUAGAUAUCAGGAGGAACACCGGUGGCGAAGGCGACUUUCUGGCCCUAUACUGACGCUGAGACGCGAAAGCGUGGGUAGCAAACAG